GGUUCGCUCCGGGCGCGCUGCGCUCGUGAGUUCCCAGGAGGCCUGGCGGGCACCGUAACCAGCGCCGCGGACACCGGCACCGGCGCCACGGACUCCGCAGGACCCCGCGCCCGCCGCCGCCGCUAUGCUGGGGCUGCUGGUGGCGUUGCUGGCCCUGGGGCUCGCUGUCUUUGCGCUGCUGGACGUCUGGUACCUGGUGCGCCUUCCGUGCGCCGUGCUGCGCGCGCGCCUGCUGCAGCCGCGCGUCCGUGACCUGCUAGCUGAGCAGCGCUUCCCGGGCCGCGUGCUGCCCUCGGACUUGGACCUGCUGCUGCACAUGAACAACGCGCGCUACCUGCGCGAGGCCGACUUUGCGCGCGUCGCGCACCUGACCCGCUGCGGGGUGCUCGGGGCGCUGAGGGAGUUGCGGGCGCACACGGUGCUGGCGGCCUCGUGCGCGCGCCACCGCCGCUCGCUGCGCCUGCUGGAGCCCUUCGAGGUGCGCACCCGCCUGCUGGGCUGGGACGACCGCGCGUUCUACCUGGAGGCGCGCUUUGUCAGCCUGCGGGACGGCUUCGUGUGCGCGCUGCUGCGCUUCCGGCAGCACCUGCUGGGCACCUCACCCGAGCGCGUCGUGCAGCACCUGUGCCAGCGCAGGACGGAUUCUCACUCUGUCGCCCAGGCUGGAGUGCAGUGGCGUGAUCUCGGCUCACUGCAACCUCCGCCUUCCGGGUUCACGCCAUUCUCCUGCUUCAGCCUCCCCACUAGCUGGGACUACGGCGCCAGCCACCACGCCCGGCUAAUUUUUUGUAUUUUUAGUAGAGACGGGGUUUCAAAAUCAGGAAUGCCUUUGUUCUCCAGACAUCGGGAUAUCUGGACACUCCCAAGUCUGGGUCUCUUUAGUAAACAUUAUUAAUUUGUUCCCUUAACUGUGUUUGAAACGCUUGUUCCCCGGUGCCGUAAAGAAAUAGCACGUGAACAUAAAUUUAAUUUCCUCAGCAAGGCCAUUUUUACUUCCUGCAGAAAGGGUACACUCGCCAGCAGCUUUGCCAUGAGAGUACACCGAACAAAGGAGACAGGCUCAUUUAUAACCUGAUGUGUAACAAUCGCUUUUAUUUAAAGUGCGAACGGAAUAUUUAAUCCAUUUCAGCCAGGGAUUUGCAUCUUGAUACUCUCUCGAUGGCUAAGGUGGAGCCCCCUGAGCUGCCCGCUGAUCUGCAGCACUGGAUCUCCUACAACGAGGCCAGCAGCCAGCUGCUCCGCAUGGAGAGUGGGCUCAGUGAUGUCACCAAGGACCAGUGACCGCCACCUUCACACCGUCUGCCCUGGCCACCAUCCUGGGCCUGGGGGCUGCCCACAGAUGGGCAGUCUCAGCCAUACUCUGUUCCAGCUGGAGUAGCCUCCUGACCAGCCUGGCCCACCCUGCUCCACCCACUGGGCCCCCCCAGUUAUUGAUACCCCUCUGUGCUGGGCUCCACGCUAGGCAGAAGGAGGAGUGGCAUUGGCAUCCUGACCCAGCUCUGCCCUCAAGGUGGGGAUGGAUGGGCAAAGGAGAGUCCUGCCUGGCCCUACGAUGAGGCCACUCAUGUGGGCCUAGGUAGGGGAGGAUGGUGCCUGGAGCAGAGGGACCCACAAGUGCCUCCCGAGCCUAGAUCCUGGCUCGGACCACUGCAAGGGCCGAGGCAGGGCCAGACCAGAGCAUCCUGGGUACAGGCCUGGGCUCUCCAGGGCCUGGGCCUGAUUCAGGUGCAGUGGGCACUCCUGAAGGGUCAGAGCGGCAUCUGCCAGGCAGCCCCUCUGGCUUCCGCUGAGGUGGUUGCAGGCCUGGGGCAGAGCCUGGGUGGUCAGAGGCCGGGGCUAGAGGCAGAUGGAAGGGAGGCAUUUGCUGACAGAGGACGGGGCACCCGGGCUCCCCACUGCAGUCGGCCUUGCCUCCUCCUCCUCCUCUACCUCCAGUCAGGCUGGACGGGAGGGUAGCCUUGUGGCUGAGAGGGGUCAGACUAGGUGGCACAGGGGCUCCUGGAAAGACAGCAGGCUUCCUGCUGGGCGUUCCCUUGUUGGAGGGAAUAGAGUGGGGGUGGGACUCUGCAGGGGUGUCCUUGUCCACUCGCACCCCUCGCCGCCCACCAGGGCCAUGCUCUGUGACUUGGGCUGAUCCCCACCCUUUCUGGGCCUACAGCACCACAGGCCGCUGUACCCCCUUAGAGCUGCCCCUCUCUGGCCUGGCCGGCAGGCGUCUUCUUAACUCCUCUGUCCUCUAUAUUCAGCAUGUUCCUUGUCAGCUGCUGGGCCGGCCCUGCCUUGCGCUAGCAGAGCCUCUCCUGGCAGCUUCUCAGGUCUCCCUAAUGGAGACACCAGGCUACUAGGACACUGGCUGGGGCCACCCCCUCCUGCCUAAUGCCUCACCUUACAGCUGGGGAAACUGAGGCCUGGAAUGGCCCAGAGUCACCAAGGCAAAGUUGGGGCUGGUCCCAGCCUGAGGCUCCAGCUGAUGCCCUCAGCUCCCAGAGAGGGGGUGCCCCAUCUAGCUGGGUGCAGGGGUCACUGCUUGUCAGCUCAGGGCCCUGUGCCCGCUUGCCUGUUCCCCUACAUCUGUGCCUGCACAUCCAGAACUGCCUCCUUGCCGCUGCCUCCAGGAAGCCCACCUUGAGCCAGAGUCAAGGGCUGCAGCACUGCCCGAUAGAACACGCCCGCCCUCACUGCUGUUCUUGCCUUACAGCCACCAUGGGAAAGCUGCAACCUUUCUGUUUUAUUUAAAGAAAGCCCAACAUUAAAGGGUUUUCAUUGCAA